AGAGGUUGUUAGAGUUUUUCAUGUCAUCGACAACUCUGCGUCACUAGUAGAUUGGGGUGUUCGGCUGCCACCCUUGUCUCCGCCGUGGCCAUCCUCCUCUUCAUCUGUUCCACAACGUCCAUGGCUUAAACAAGGUUGCACGUGCAGGUACAACUCAUGGACGCCAAGGAGAAUGAUGCCUUAGACUAGUCUGAGAAGCCAUCGCUGCCCUUGGAUGUUCCUGCCGACAAAGACGGGCACAUGGUGACACAAGAUUGGGCUACUCAGCCAACGGUAAGUGGCGGUGUACUUCAUCACAGCCUUCCGUUUUCGAAAACAUCAGUCAAUCCUUCGUUAAGUGAGCAUAAUGGACAUCAAUGACCCAACCAUGCCCAUAAUGGCCAUACAGUACAACAAGGCAUCCUCGUUGGUCUAUGUUGCAAAUGGGCUGCAGCACUUUCCAUGCUUUCAAGCCGAAGGACUUCACUCCGAGGGCAUACUCUACAAGCAAUACAAAUUCAGAGAGACACGAUGAAAUCAAGUCAAAAUCAACCGAUUGUCUUAGACCCUUUUGCACAUGGACAUUUGAGAGCACUCUACUCUUUAGUCUGUUGGAACAAAGUUAUGAUGUUUCCGUUUCACACAAGAAAUCAAUUGCAAGAAGAUCAUGACAGCAGCUUGUCAUGUAAGGUA